rnacentral:rRNA from 1 species
UGGGGAAUAUUGGACAAUGGGCGAAAGCCUAAUCCAGCCAUGCCGCGUGUGUGAAGAAGGUCUUCGGAUUGUAAAGCACUUUAAGUUGGGAGGAAGGGCAGUAAGCGAAUACCUUGCUGUUUUGACGUUACCGACAGAAUAAGCACCGGCUAACUCUGUGCCAGCAGCCGCGGUAAUACAGAGGGUGCAAGCGUUAAUCGGAAUUACUGGGCGUAAAGCGCGCGUAGGUGGUUCGUUAAGUUGAAUGUGAAAGCCCCGGGCUCAACCUGGGAACUGCAUCCAAAACUGGCGAGCUAGAGUAGGGCAGAGGGUGGUGGAAUUGCCUGUGUAGCGGUGAAAUGCGUAGAUAUAGGAAGGAACACCAGUGGCGAAGGCGACCACCUGGGCUCAUACUGACACUGAGGUGCGAAAGCGUGGGGAGCAAACAGG